GUUUCCUGACACGUUGGGAAACGCCGAAAAAAAGACCUGCAUUGGAUCAGUGUAGGCAACGGAUGGCCUCAGGGCGCCGUCAACAUAUCCCUUCCUGUAAUGUUUUGGGCUAGUAGCUCAGUUGGUUAGAGCACACGCUUGAUAAGCGUGGGGUCGGAGGUUCAAGUCCUCCCUGGCCCACCACGACUGUGGUGGUUUCUAGACCUGGGGGCGUAGCUCAGCUGGGAGAGCACCUGCUUUGCAAGCAGGGGGUCGUCGGUUCGAUCCCGUCCGCCUCCACCAGAAACCACACCGGUACACGCUGCUUGGCGAAAGCUUCGAGCGGCAUGAUGGUGCGAUAACAUUACAGGUUAAGGGAAAAAUGUUUCCUCCCUGCCGCACUUUGGUGCGGGAGCGAUGAAAAAGUCUGUUCUUUGUCAGUGUGAAUAGGUUGGUGCACUUUCUGGGUGCUGCCACGAUCCGGGUUGGUCUGACCCAUGUGGAUCGGUUUUGGGUUCCUGGACUUUGGUCCGGGAGGCUCUGAUCCGGUCUCGUGUUUAAGGAUUGUGGCGUAUAGCGGUCAGAGAGUGUUUUAUAAGUAUGAUGAACUUUGCGUGCGAUGCAUUGCAUUUUCUCUGCGCAGGAAACUCUGAAGCGCGCGAGCGUGGAUGGUUGCUGUGCAUGUGUAGUGUGUGAGCAUGAGAAGGGCAU
rnacentral:tRNA from 1 species